UGCAGAAUCCCGUGAACCAUCGAGUCUUUGAACGCAAGUUGCGCCCGAACCCUUCGGGUUGAGGGCACGUCUGCCUGGGCGUCACGUACGCAUGUCUCUCACAACCCUUCGCCCCUUGCGGACGUAGGGCUUCGUGCGAGCAGAGAUUGGUAUCCCGUGCUCUCGAGGCGCGGUUUACCUAAAAAUAGAGAGCCAGUGACAAAGCGUCACGUCUAGUGGUGGUUAAUGUGCCUUUACGGCCGACCAGUUCGCGGCGUGAAUGCUUGUCGCUUGGAAAGCUCGAUCGACACCUUGAGCAUCGUCAAAUCGGUGUGCUACUGUCGCGACCCCAGGUCAGGCGGGACUACCCGCUGAAUUUAAGCAUAUCAAUAAGCGGAGGAAGAGAAACUUACAAGGAUUCCCUUAGUAACGGCGAGCGAACCGGGAAGAGCCCAGCUUGUAAAUCGGGCAGCCUCGCUGUUUGA
rnacentral:rRNA from 1 species